rnacentral:rRNA from 1 species
GAUGAACGCUGGCGGCGUGCCUAAUACAUGCAAGUCGAGCGAACAGACGAGGAGCUUGCUCCUCUGACGUUAGCGGCGGACGGGUGAGUAACACGUGGAUAACCUACCUAUAAGACUGGGAUAACUUCGGGAAACCGGAGCUAAUACCGGAUAAUAUAUUGAACCGCAUGGUUCAAUAGUGAAAGACGGUUUUGCUGUCACUUAUAGAUGGAUCCGCGCCGCAUUAGCUAGUUGGUAAGGUAACGGCUUACCAAGGCGACGAUGCGUAGCCGACCUGAGAGGGUGAGCGGCCACACUGGAACUGAGACACGGUCCAGACUCCUACGGGAGGCAGCAGUAGGGAAUCUUGCGCAAUGGGCGAAAGCCUGACGGAGCAACGCCGCGUGAGUGAUGAAGGUCUUCGGAUCGUAAAACUCUGUUAUUAGGGAAGAACAAAUGUGUAAGUAACUAUGCACGUCUUGACGGUACCUAAUCAGAAAGCCACGGCUAACUACGUG